rnacentral:ncRNA from 1 species
CAAGUGGGUCCCGCGUGUCGGCACCAAACUCCGGUUGGGCUGCGCGGUAGAAGAGACCGAUAGCGAAGUAGUACCGUGAGGGAAAGGUGAAAAGAACCCGAGUGGGUAGUGAAAUAGAACGUGAAAGUGUGCUGAGCUCCCAAGUAGUGGGAGGGGAAAGUGAUCUCUGACCGCGUGCCUAUUGAAGAAAUGAAAAUAGGAAGAAAAAACCAAUUUGGGAGGAAUUUAUUUAGUACUCAUAUUGAGUGUUUAAUUUGAAAAUGCCAAUUUGGG